rnacentral:lncRNA from 1 species
CUACCAGGCUUGGCCAUUGAACCCUGUGCCCAUGUCACCCUUGGAAGUCUCAAGGUGAAGACACCAGAGCCUCUGUCAGCUGAAGAAGAACACUCGUGGCUGUGGCUGUGAUGUGGUCCUUUGUUCCAGGAGUUCAUCCCUGGAUGGUGAUGUGGAGAGGCAAUGAGAUCAUUAAGAGACAGAGCCUUGUGGCAAGUAAGUGGGUCACUGAUGGCCCUGUCUUCAGAAAAGAUUAGUACUCAUCUCAAGGAAUGCAUCCGUUCUUCCAUGAAUGAGUUGCUAUAAAAGGACCCUACCUGCUCCUGCAUCCACUGGCGUCCUACUUUGCGCUGCAUGUGGGUGUCAUUGUGACGCCACUCACCAUGAGGUCAUCACUGGAGACUCAAUUAAUAGGCCGUUCAGUCUUGGCCUCUUAGACUUAAAGACUGAGUUAAUAAACACCCUCCUUUA